rnacentral:rRNA from 1 species
AGAGUUUGAUCAUGGCUCAGAACGUACGCUGGCGGCACGCCUUAUACAUGCAAGUCGAACGAAGUAGCAAUACUUAGUGGCAGACGGGUGAGUAACAUGUAGGUAUCUUCCCUUUGGUGAGGAAUAACACGAGGAAACUUGUGCUAAUACCUCAUAAGUCUUUACGGAGAAAGCUUUAUGCGCCAUUGGAUGAGCCUGCACUUGAUUAGUUUGUUGGUGGGGUAAUGGCCUACCAAGACUGUGAUCAAUAGCUGAUCUGAGAGGAUGAUCAGCCACAUUGGGACUGAGACACGGCCCAAACUCCUACGGGAGGCAGCAGUAGGGAAUAUUGCACAAUGGAGGAAACUCUGAUGCAGCGAUGCCGCGUGAGUGAAGAAGGCCUUUGGGUUGUAAAGCUCUUUCGUCGGGGAAGAAAAUGACUGUACCCGAAUAAGAAGGUCCGGCUAACUUCGUGCCAGCAGCCGCGGU